CCUACGGGCGGCAGCAGUGGGGAAUAUUGGACAAUGGGCGAAAGCCUGAUCCAGCCAUGCCGCGUGUGUGAAGAAGGCCUUCGGGUUGUAAAGCACUUUCAGUGGGGAAGAAAGCCUUGGGGCUAAUACCCUCGAGGAAGGACAUCACCCACAGAAGAAGCACCGGCUAACUCCGUGCCAGCAGCCGCGGUAAUACGGAGGGUGCGAGCGUUAAUCGGAAUUACUGGGCGUAAAGCGCGCGUAGGCGGUCUGAUAAGCCGGUUGUGAAAGCCCCGGGCUCAACCUGGGAACGGCAUCCGGAACUGUCAGGCUAGAGUGCAGGAGAGGAAGGUAGAAUUCCCGGUGUAGCGGUGAAAUGCGUAGAGAUUGGGAGGAAUACCAGCGGCGAAGGCGGCCUUCUGGACUGACACUGACGCUGAGGUGCGAAAGCGUGGGUAGCAAACAGGAUUAGAUACCCGGGUAGUC
rnacentral:rRNA from 1 species